AUCAAGAGGGGGGGCAAGGGGUUUAACUGUUAUGCUGUUAUGGGGCAAUUUAAUUCUUUGUUAUCUGUUAUUUUGAAAAUAUAUUUGCUGUUAGCUGUUAUUGUCUUAUUCUUUGUUAGCUGUUAUUGGGCUUUUAGUUUUUUUGUUAUCUGUUAUUGUGAUAAUGUAUUUGCUGUUAACUGUUAUUGAAAAUUGGAAUGUUAGCAUUUUUUUUGACAGUCAAUAUUCGGUAUAAAUUGAAGAUCAUUGGCCAUUGGGGUCUACCACUACUAAUAUGUUUGUCCGUAUUCAGAGAAGGAUUCCAUUAACAUAUACCCAUCACAGAAGUGAGGUCCAGGACAAUUCAAGUAUAUCUUAUGAUUAUCCUUUGUAAUAAAUUCCAUUUUUUUUAUGAAUGUGUAUUUAGAAUUAUCUUAAUUUUUUGUAUGAGAAUAAUAUUCCUUGUUUUCCGUAUACGAACAUAUUAAAUUAAAACAAUUCUUAAUAUGACAAAAAGGAAAACAUAUGGCCAGGAAUAUCUGACAAGGAUCUCAAUUAAGGACUAGGUCCUAACAACCACUUAACCUUUUAUAUAAUAUGGUACAUAGACUCAGCUCUGUGAUUCUUUUCAAAGCAGAACCAAAUGCAUUGUACAAUGAAAGUUCCAAACAUGUACUUGGGUCCGAAGCUGCACAUAACUCAUUACAAACAAAGAUUUAUUUCGUUUCAAGCCAUUGUUUCCCUACUAAAUUAUGUAUUCUACUUACUAGUACACUUGGUACAAUCAAAAACCUCAGCUGAUAAAAAAUUGUUCAAAUAAGGCCUUUGAAAAUAGUGGAAUAAAUUCCUUUUAGAGUGUCAAAAUUCGUUCGAAGUACUUGAUAAAUUGCAUGCUUAUAAU
rnacentral:lncRNA from 1 species